GACGAACGCUAGCGACGUGCCUAAGAAAUGCAAGUCGAACGGGGGGAGCAAUCCCUUAGUGGCGAACGGUCGCGUAACACGUGGGCAACCUGCCCUGAAGCGGGGGACAACAGAGGGAAACUUCUGCUAAUACCGCAUGUGAAUGAUCUCCGGCAUCGGAGGGUAUUCAAAGCCGCAAGGCACUUCAGGAUGGGCCCGCGGCCUAUCAGCUAGUUGGAGGGGUAACGGCCCACCAAGGCGACGACGGGUAGCUGGUCUGAGAGGACGAUCAGCCGGA
rnacentral:rRNA from 1 species